UAGUACGGCGAGUGAGCGGUAAAAGCUCAAAUUUGAAAUCUGGUACUUUCAGUGCCCGAGUUGUAAUUUGUAGAAUUUGUCUUUGAUUAGGUCCUUGUCUAUGUUCCUUGGAACAGGACGUCAUAGAGGGUGAGAAUCCCGUUUGGCGAGGAUACCUUUUCUCUGUAAGACUUUUUCGAAGAGUCGAGUUGUUUGGGAAUGCAGCUCAAAGUGGGUGGUAAAUUCCAUCUAAAGCUAAAUAUUGGCGAGAGACCGAUAGCGAACAAGUACAGUGAUGGAAAGAUGAAAAGAACUUUGAAAAGAGAGUGAAAAAGUACGUGAAAUUGUUGAAAGGGAAGGGCAUUUGAUCAGACAUGGUGUUUUUUGCAUGCACUCGCCUCUCGUGGGCUUGGGCCUCUCAAAAAUUUCACUGGGCCAACAUCAAUUCUGGCAGCAGGAUAAAUCAUUAAGAAUGUAGCUACUUCGGUAGUGUUAUAGCUUUUUGGAAUACUGUUAGCCGGGAUUGAGGACUGCGCUUCGGCAAGGAUGUUGGCAUAAUGGUUAAAUGCCGCCCGUCUUGAACC
rnacentral:rRNA from 1 species